rnacentral:rRNA from 1 species
GUCCAUGCCGUAAACUAUGAACACUAGGUUUCGGACUCGUCAACGGUUCGGAGCCGCAGCUAACGCGUUAAGUGUUCCGCCUGGGGAAUACGGUCGCAAGACUGAAACUCAAAGGAAUUGACGGGGGCCCGCACAAGCGGUGGAGCAUGUGGUUUAAUUCGACGCAACGCGCAGAACCUUACCAGGGCUUGACAUAUACAGGAAUAUGGCAGAGAUGUCAUAGCCGCAAGGUCUGUAUACAGGUGGUGCAUGGUUGUCGU